ACCUGUAUCCGGCCACCGGAAGGGUUGUCAUUAUUAGAUAAAAAACCAAUGCUAUGGGGGGUAACUUCCAUAGGUCUUUUGGCGAUUCAUAAUAAUACGACGAAUCGCAUGGCCUUGCGCCGGCGAUGAAUCAUUCAAAUUUCUGCCCUAUCAACUUUCGAUUGUAGGAUAUAGGCCUACAACGGUUUUAACGGGUAACGGAGAAUUAGGGUUCGAUUCCGGAGAGGGAGCCUGAGAAACGGCUGCCACUUCCAAGGAAGGCAGCAGGCGCGUAAAUUACCCAAUCCUGACACAGGGAGGUAGUGACAAUAAAUAACAAUACAGGUCCUUUUAUAGGUCUUGUAAUUGGAAUGAGUACGAUUUAAAAACACUAACGAUCACCAAUUGGAGGGCAAGUCUGGUGCCAGCAGCCGCGGUAAUUCCAGCUCCAAUAGCGUAUACUUAAGUUGCUGCAGUUAAAAAGCUCGUAGUUGAAUUUUGGGACUUGGGAGGUCUGGUCUGCCUAAUGGUAAGUACUGAUUUCCCGGUUCUAAUUUUUCGUCUCUUUCGAGGUUCUUCGGAGCUUCGGAAUGGGGCGGGAAAUAUUUCCUUCUCAUUGCGGGCUCCUGCACUUAAUUGGGUGGGAGUUUUCCGUAUGGGGUCGUUUACCUUGAGAAAAUUAGAGUGUUCAAAGCAGGCAAAUUUUUUUCUCGGAGGGGGCGGGAGUAGGGGGCAACCUCUGCUUCAGUUCUUUUCGAGCUACAAGCCAUUGAAUACUUCAGCAUGGAAUAAUGAAACAGGACUCGAUUCCUAUUUUGUUGGUUUUAGGAAAACGGGUAAUGAUUAAAAGGAAUAGUUGGGGAUAUUAGUAUUUAGUAGCUAGAGGUGAAAUUCUUGGAUUUACGAAAGACUAACUUCUGCGAAAGCAUUUAUCAAGGAUGUUUUCAUUGAUCAAGAACGAAAGUUAGGGGAUCGAAGAUGAUCAGAUACCGUCGUAGUCUUAACCAUAAACUAUGCCGACCAGGGAUUUGGGGACGUUACAUUAAAGACUUCCUGAGCACCUUGAGAGAAAUCAUUGAGUCUUUGGGUUCUGGGGGGAGUAUGGUCGCAAGACUGAAACUUAAAGGAAUUGACGGGAGGGCACACCAGAAGUGGAGCUUGCGGCUUAAUUUGACCCAACACGGGGAAACUUACCAGGUCAAGACAUAAUUAGGAUUGACAGAUUGGAAGCUCUUUCUUGAUUUUAUGGGUGGUGGUGCAUGGCCGUUCUU
rnacentral:rRNA from 1 species